CCAGCCUCCAUUUCCUUCACUCAUUUAACAUUCGGGUGGCAUGUGAUGUGCCGUGCCUUGGAGAGCAUGGUGAGAAGGGCCACUGCAAACCUGCUCACAAAAAUCAUACAGCACGGGGGUAGGGUGACGAUGCAAGCCGGAAAGGAACAGUAGUUUUAACUGCAUUAGGGGGCAGAGUCUUGUCCGGGACAUUCCCCGAGGGAGUGAGACAGAGCUGCCAGAGGAAGAAGGGCUAUCCAAGAAAAGUCCUUCCUGGGAACCACUAUGACAACCCAGUGGAACUCGGCUUUCCUGGGCCUGGGGUAGGGAGUCACCCAGUUGAGGGUAUCCAUCAGCACCAGCCAGAAGCACAUAGGAGCAGCUGACAACACAGUGAAUCAGAGUCAGGGGUACAGGGGUUUCCCUGGCUGUCCUGGAACUUGCUCUGUAGACCAGGCUGG